rnacentral:misc_RNA from 1 species
GAAAUGCGAUAAGUAAUGUGAAUUGCAGAAUUCAGUGAAUCAUCGAAUCUUUGAACGCACAUUGCGCCCGUCAGCACUCUGGCGGGCAUGCCUGUUCGAGCGUCAUUUCAACCACCAAGCCCUGCUUGUGUUGGGGCCCUGCGGCUGCCCGCAGGCCCUGAAAACCAGUGGCGGGCUCGCUAGUCACACCGAGCGCAGUAAGCACAUUCUCGCUCAGGGCGUGCGGCGGGUUCUUGCCGUGAAACCCCCCCUGUAACUCACAAGGUUGACCUCGGAUCAGGUAGGAAUACCCGCUGAACUUAA